rnacentral:sRNA from 9 species
AUGCGCCACUCGUACACUGCAGUUCCAACGCGUCGUCCACAGCCACCGGACGACCGCUCGCUCCACGUGUUAGCC